rnacentral:rRNA from 1 species
UUUAAAUUGAGAGUUUGAUCCUGGCUCAGGAUGAACGCUGGCGGCGUGCUUAACACAUGCAAGUCGAGCGAUGAAGUUUCCUUCGGGAAAUGGAUUAGCGGCGGACGGGUGAGUAACACGUGGGUAAC